rnacentral:rRNA from 1 species
AUUGAACGCUGGCGGCAUGCUUUACACAUGCAAGUCGAACGGCAGCGCGGGCUUCGGCCUGGCGGCGAGUGGCGAACGGGUGAGUAAUACAUCGGAACGUGCCCAGUAGUGGGGGAUAGCUCGGCGAAAGCCGGAUUAAUACCGCAUACGACCUGAGGGUGAAAGCGGGGGAUCUUCGGACCUCGCGCUAUUGGAGCGGCCGAUGGCAGAUUAGCUAGUUGGUGGGGUAAAGGCCUACCAAGGCGACGAUCUGUAGCUGGUCUGGGACGACCAGCCACACUGGGACUGAGACACGGCCCAGACUCCUACGGGAGGCAGCAGUGGGGAAUUUUGGACAAUGGGCGAAAGCCUGAUCCAGCAAUGCCGCGUGUGUGAUGAAGGCCUUCGGGUUGUAAAGCACUUUUGGCGGGAACGAAAAGGACUGUGCCAAUACCACGGUUCGAUGACGGUACCCGCAGAAUAAGCACCGGCUAACUACGUG